GUUUUUGUUCUGUAAGAGGCCAGCCCACCCCGUGUGCUGUCGUCAUGAUACGGAACCGAAGCUCUCGAUGAAAGGAAGUCCCCUCUCUGAGGCCAGCCUCAAGCAGGGUUUCCGGAGCUGGUGUCUUUUAGGUGUUUUGGACUACAGCUCCCACCAUCCCCUGUCUAUGGGCCACAGUGGUCUGGCAGAAGGAGAGCCAACCCCCCCGCCCCAUAAUUAUAAUUCAGAUUUGCACUUAUUUAUUUUUAUUACAGUAUUUUCUACUUUUAGCUCUCGCCAAGAGCUCAAGUUGGCACGUGUGGUUCUCUUCUUCCUUUUCCUAUCUUCUCAACAACCCUGCGAGGUAGGUGGGGCCGAGACUGGCCCGGCCCAAGGCCAAACAGGGAAUUGCACGACCCACUGGGGAGCUGAAGUCCUAAUCCUACACUCUAACCAUGACACUGCAUGACCAGCUGCGCCACAUAGACCGCUGCAUUACUGCUGCAUGCGGAACUCAUGGACACCGGAUGUGCCAAUGACAUUAACAGGGAAUCCAGCAGCCUUGGGUGAGAGGAUAAGCCGGGUGAAGCCUGCUUCUUUCUGAUGAAGGGUGCCUCUGAAUGUCAGCUGUUUGGAAGGAGGGGGGGAAAAGCAAGAUCCCUUUUUUCAGCCAUCGGCGUGCGCCCUUGACCAGCCGCGACACCUCAUCCUCAUCUACUUUGCAGGAUUGUUGUGCAAAGAAGCCACCCACUCUCUUCACCCCGGCCUCCUCUGAGGAAGGGCAAGGGGCUCCACCACGUAUCUCAGCGUUUGAGUCUUCUCUGUUCCCGGCUCUCUCUGUCGCAUCUCGCACUCAGCACAAUGUUCUGCAGAAGUCCUCUGUUUUUCUUUCCCACCAGCAAAAGGGAGCUUUUGGUGCCGACCUUGCACACCCGCUCUGCAGUUUUACUUCCCUUCCAGCCCUCCCCCACCGCCAUAAACACCAGCCAAGUUACUUCCGGCUGCACAUAAAAAUGCCGUUCAAACGACACCUCCCGCCGGAAGGCUGUCAAGAAUGCAGGUCAGAAAUUGGGGGGGGGGGUCGCUGGGGGUGUCCUUUGUGCAGGCUCUCUGCCUCUUGCUCCUGCCUGUGAGGCUCAGAGUUUAGAAAGGGGACCUUUUUUUAAAAACCACAAGACCCAGAACCCUCUCACCCCUCUGGUGGAUUCUGGGAACUGAAGUCCACAGGAAUGAGAUUUUUCUCUGGCCUGGAUUUGUCAGCAAACAGUCAGAGAGAAACCAAACCCAGAUUCCCAGUCCUUCUGAAGGCUGGCCACGGGCUUGAAACUCUGGCCGGUGGCCCAUUCGCUCCCUGACUCCCUACUGUUGGAUUUCAGCAGGAGUUAAACCGCAGAAGCCUCUGGGCUGCAACCUGACUCCCUACCUGUUGGAUUUCAGCAGGAGUUAAACAGCAGAAGCCUCUGUGGUGCAGGGUCAGAAGACCAGCAGUCGUAAGAUCGAAUCCACACGACGGAGUGAGCUCCCGUCACUUUGUCCCAACUCCUUGCCAACCUAGCAGUUCGAAAGCAUGUAAAUGCGAGUAGAUAAAUAGGUGCCACCUCGGUGGGAAGGUAAAACAGCGUUCCCUAGUCGCGCUGGCCAUGUGACCUCGGAAACUGUCUACGGGCAAAAUGCUGGCUCUACGGCUUGGAGACGGGGAUGAGCACUGUGCCCUAGAGUCGGACGCGACUGGACUCAAUGUCAAGGGGAACCUUUACCUUUAAGGUAUUUAAGGAGCGGCUUUACCUGUCUGUCUCUCCGUCUGUUUGUUGGAGUUGGUUUAUUUCACAUAUUUUUAUGUAUCCUUUCUCCUUUAAAAGGAGCCAAAGCAGCUUACACCAUUGGAAGUCCAUAUUAAAAUUCAAAAACCGUGAGUUGCCAAAUACCAAAAAGGAUCCUUUACCUUUACCUGACACGCAGACACGGUACCUGCUGAUAUUUUCUCCCUCCCUGUUUCUCCUCAAGGACUGAAGGCGGAGAAGCCAUGCCAUCCAUCCAUCCAUCCAUCCAUCCAUCCAUCCAUCCAUCCAUCCAUCCAUCCAUCCAUCCAUCCACAGACUGGGGUCCCCAGAUGUUCUCGGACCGCGCUUCCCA
ensembl:lncRNA